UUAGGUCUUUAUUUUUAUCAAUUAAGUCCUUAUUUUUAUUAAUUUGAUACAAACAAAUUCUUUCCGUCAAUUUUAUCAAAUGGUGUUAAUGAAUGUGUGACGUGGCAUGGUGACACUAUAGUUUUAAUACACGUGUCAAAAAAAUAUUUUUAAAUUGGAUUUUUGAAUUUUAGAAUUAAAGAAUUAAAUAAAUAUAUAUUGAACUAUCCAGUUGAAUCACUCGAUUAGUAAUUCAAUUUUUUUGAGUUUCUAUCCAAACCCAAUUACCAACCAUGCCACUUAACCCUACUACAAAGAAUGAACAUUGAACUUCAAGUGCAAGAUUAAGUUAACACUCUCCUCCACUGUAGUUGUGCAAAAAUUCCCUGGUCUAAAAAUUACGUCAAUGUUCCUUUGUUGCAUAAAAAUCCCAAACAGCAGAUCAUGAGGCCUCCUUCUCCUUCAUCUUCCUUAACAUAAAAAUCCCAAAUAACAUAGAAAUCCAGUUCGCGUUGCCCAGAACGCCAGUUCUUUAUGCGGCCACUGUCAAUGCCGCAAAUCGUAACAAGUCGCGCCGCUGCUUCCCGCGCACCAGCCUAAAUCGCCAUCAAGCCGCAAGCAGCGUAGUUCAACCUCCUCUACGAGCAGCCUCUUUUUUCUCUCACGCAACCCAGUUCAUCCCCAUCAACACGCACCUACAGCAACCAAAACCCCAUAAUCGUGCAUCUCCUUCUCGCGCAAGAGUUUGAAGCCAAGUUUGCUUGCCCUUCCGUCCUCGCAAACAUUCAACAAUCGAAUCUCCACCUGAAAACCAAAGAAAAACCAAAACAACACCCAACAAACAGAGACCCCUAACCUGCAACCAAUCAAAGCACCAUGACCAUCACCGAAACGACACAGGAGCAAAGGGGGAAGCCUUUUCCCAGUCUGAAAACCUAAUUGGGAAAGAAAGGGCUGCCACUUUUCCCC
rnacentral:lncRNA from 1 species